CGACCCCAGGUCAGGCGGGAUCACCCGCUGAGUUUAAGCAUAUCAUA
rnacentral:rRNA from 1 species